rnacentral:rRNA from 1 species
CGUACGGGUUAUUAACGCGUGGGUUACGUGCCUUUUGCUCUGGAAUAGCUCGGGAAACUUGGGGUAAUACCGGAUGUGUCCCUGAGGGGUGGAAAGAUUUAUCGGCAAGAGAUCGGCCCGCGUCUGAUUAGGUAGUUGGUGUGGUAAUGGCGCACCAAGCCGACGAUCGGUAGCUGGGUUUGAGAGGAUGAUCAGCAACCACUGGGUGACUGAGACACUGGCCCAGACGUCCUACGGGAGGCAGCAGUGGGGAAUCUUAGACAAUGGGCGCAAGCCUGAUCUAGCCUAUGCCGCGUGUGCUGAUGAAGGCCUUAGGUCGUAAAGCCCUUUCGCCGGGGAAGAUAAUGACGGUACCUCGUUAAUAGAAACCUCCGGCUAACUCC